CAGCUGGGCCUAACAGGUGCCCCCUUAGACUCUGAGAUUUACCUCUUCACUGAUGCUGCAGCAAAAGACUCUCACCUGAAAAGUACAGUGGCUGCACUGAUAGAAAAGACAGGGUCUGUGGUCAAUUUUAUGAUAACUAGUUUUUCAAGUUUACGUCGACGUAGAUCAAACAGUGGAAAUCAGCAGCAGAUCGCUCCUCGAAUGGCAGUUACAGAAUUCCAAGUGUACAAGGACCUGGCUGCUGCUUCAGGAGGUCAGAGUGUGGAAGUGUCAAAAAAACAGCUUCUGGAGGCCAUCAAUGUUGUUUUGGAGACUUCAACCUCAAGUGUGGU
ensembl:lncRNA